rnacentral:tmRNA from 1 species
GUAUGAUGCGGCCUCUUUCUAACCCUUUAACAGAGGCCUAUAACGUGCAAAAUUUGUACCAGUGUCUAAAUUGUGAUGAUUAUCACUUGUGUAAUGGUUCUCUCAACUGUGAUCCUCUGGUGGAUCGAGAGGGAAUUGUGUGCACAGUCACUGGAAAGUAUAUCCAGUGUAAUGUCAGGGAAUCACCCAUGUGUGGGGCAGCGUGUCUGGACGUGGACAUUCACCCAGAGGACAAUACAGACUGCAUUCUGCGGGCACUGUUUGGUGACAUUGUAGAUAUUAUUAAUAAAUUGGAUGAUAUUGCUGAAAUUAAAGAUAAGAUCCUCGCUGGAGACUCCCUAAAUGAGCACAUCAAGAAGAAAAUUGAGUGUACCUUUCCAAUGUGCGCCAACAUCAUUAAUUGUAAUAGCCAAGGCUAUUCCAUACUUUGUAGCAUGUUUGUCCAUAUUAUUAUGUCAAUCUAUGCCAACAAAACCAUAUAUGGCCACAUGCUAUUUAAAUGCACCAGAAAUAAAAAGUAUGACACCAUUGCCAAGAAAAUUAGAGAGAAAUGGAUGUAUUUAGAAUAAAUAAAAAAAGUGUUCCUUUACAACAAGAUGAGCUCCUGGUCGAUCUGUUUCUCCCAGAACAUUUAUUGGCAAUUUAUGGCAUACUACCCAACAGGAACUUUGUGUACACCUCCUCUGUGUGUGAUUAUCAAUCUGGUCACGUCCUGCCUUAUAGAAGAGUUUGGGGAAAAUUUAUGAAGGCAGGUGAGUCUGGAGGCCCAGUUGGAAGUCAGGGGCUGUGUGUCUCUAUUAUUGUGAGAGUUCAUCAGAAUCUUUCUUGCCUGGACAUGGCCCUGUUAAAAGUUUCAAACUGGGAUGAGGGCUUCUUUAGAAUAAUUAAAUUUUCUCUGCUUAAUCUCCUUAGAAUGUUCUAUAUCACCUCAGUCCCACCCGUCACCAGGCUCAAAAAAACCGCCUUUGAGGAGCUCUGCAACCAAGUGUCCAGUGAUAAGCCCCCUGCCCACGCAGCUGCGUCUUUUCUCCUGUCUUUGUUGCCCAACACCGUCUGUGAGACUACCAAAACACACUGUGCGCUGGAGAACCCUGGCUACAUCAGAGGCUCAAACCCACCCACGUGUCAAACACAGCCAGCCACGGAGACACUGCCCUGUAAGAACAGGAGGACAGAAAGGCAGCCCAGGACAGAGUACAGUUGGAAAUUGCUCCACCAUGUUGAGAAUGGUGCUCCCUACUAUGUUGAAGAUACCCAUAACCCCAUAGAGGCACAACAUAUUCAUCAGAAGCUAUUAACAGUCAUGACUGGAGACCCCCCCGCCAAAGCCCCAACUGACAUAUUUUUAAUGGAUACUGACUUCCUCCACGCUGUUCAAAAUAGAUUCAUCGACUCAAUUGAUCUCCCUGGUGUCAAAGAUGGUGGUUUGAAUAUUUUUCAGAAGUUUUCCAUCUUCAUCACUUAUGAUGAGACCACUAAACAUUUAUAUGAAAUUUUCCUAGACUCUCUAAUCACCCUCAGAAGCAAAAGCUCCAAAUAUCCUGCUUGGCUUAUGGCAUACUAUCACGGGCCUUCCUUUCAGGGGGUGUGGUUAGAUAUUGUAAAUGCCACUGCAACUGGAGAGGUAUUCAAGGGGGAUUCCAUAUAUUUAGAUCUGACUGCUUGGCUACUUCUUCCUGGAGGAUUUGUUAUUAAAGGAACAUACAUUCUGGGAAUUCAAGAAAAGGCCUUUGUUGGCAGAUAUUAUGGCAACCAAAGAAGAUAUAAUUCAGACAUUUCUGAAUAAAGAGUGUAUAUGGAUUGUAAAUAAAGCUUCAUGUUGCAGAAAGAAGGUCUUUACAUGCACCACGUCCAUUUCACCAAGCCUGAAACACCACUUUGGUGUGCCAGACGAUGGGGCAUGGUGCCUAAACGUCACUGUGUUGAUUCUGAAGCCUAAACAAUCUCCAUUUUCUGUUACAGUGUUUAUAAAUGGGAAACCCAUACUCUGCUCCAAUUCACAGUUAAUUUCUAUCCAGAAGGUAUCUGGCAGAGAGCAUAUGGCUGUGAUAUAUUUUGGAAAAUUUACAGGGAAGUCAGCCAUUCCAGUACCUAUGGAUCCUACAAUUCUAGAUCCUGGUUCUGACAGCCCACACAUUUUGUGUUCAGAUGUAAUGGAGUCCUCCACGUUGGUUGACCUGCCAGUUGUUGGUUCAAGUAAGCAAGUAGGAUAUACUGCCUGGCUUGCGAAUAACAGUAUCUAUGAAUACAUGUUGAGUACAGAACAUCAGAUGAUGUGUCCGUCCCUACCAGUGUUUCCCUCCCUGUCUAAGAUCCUCAAUAUUAUGACGUCCUGCACAAGUCCAACCUGUAAAAAAUGUGCAGGAUAUCGGAGGCACUGUAAGGUCUGCAGUGGUUAUACUGAUGCUACUGGAGAUGGGUAUUCGCCUUCAUGUCCCUGCACAACAUCAUGCGCUCUCAAACCAGGUGACAUCAUCCCCAUAACUGGACACCAUACUUUGCUGCCAUUGUUGUUUGAUCCUGUCAAUGCCCACAGUGUCACACGGCUCAGAAUCACCCCUACCAGUUCACCUCAGCCCUUGGAUCAAAUUAUUACUGGUAUCACCGAGUCAGGGGAGAGUGUUCCAAUUACCCUGGAGGCGUGGAAACUCGUGAGGCUAUCUGACCUUUACUCCCAUCUCUAUAUUAUAUCAUGUAAGGCACUUAAAUCACACUUACAUUCUUGUUGAAGCAUGUGGCACACAUCAAGGUGCUGGAUUUUUUCCCAGGAUGUGAGUACAGGAUCACCCCAUUUUCCUUUUUAAUGUCAAUAUUCUUUCUUGGGAACCAGGCCAGCAGAAUGUUUGAGAUUUCCAGGAAAACUGCCAAGGACACAUGUUUUUGGUGGGCUACGUAGCCAAUAUGUAAAUCAUCCACUGAUGUCAGAAGCAUGCUUAUGAUUGCUGUCACAAUCCAGGUUUUGCCAUGGCGCCGGGGAAUCAAAAAGGCUGGUGAUUUUUGCAAAAAUGUUAACAAGUCUGUGUUGUCAAAAUAUAACAUGUCUAAUAAAAAUUUGAAUUCAUCAAAA